UUUUCAAUGGCCCAGUGGGUCACAGCGUUGGCGAUUGUACCCGAAAGGUUGUGGGUUUGAUCCCGACUUGAAGAA